AUUGAACGCUGGCGGCAUGCCUUACACAUGCAAGUCGAACGGCAGCACGGGGCAACCUGGUGGCGAGUGGCGAACGGGUGAGUAAUGCAUCGGAACGUACCUUUCAGUGGGGGAUAACGUAGCGAAAGUUACGCUAAUACCGCGUAUUCUGUGAGCAGGAAAGCAGGGGAUCGCAAGACCUUGCGCUGAUUGAGCGGCCGAUGUCAGAUUAGCUAGUUGGUGAGGUAAAGGCUCACCAAGGCGACGAUCUGUAGCGGGUCUGAGAGGAUGAUCCGCCACACUGGAACGGAGACACGGUCCAGACUCCUACGGGAGGCAGCAGUGGGUAAUUUUGGACAAUGGGGGCAACCCUGAUCCAGCCAUGCCGCGUGAGUGAAGAAGGCCUUCGGGUUGUAAAGCUCUUUCGGCCGGGAAGAAAUCGCACGGGCUAAUACCCUGUGUGGAUGACGGUACCGGAAUAAGAAGCACCGGCUAACUACGUGCCAGCAGCCGCCGCCGUAA
rnacentral:rRNA from 1 species